rnacentral:rRNA from 1 species
CAGAGGUGGCAAGCGUUGUACGGAAUUACUGGGCGUAAAGGGCGCGUAGGCGGCCUUCUAAGUCAGACGUGAAAUCCCCAGGCUUAACUUGGGAACUGCGUCUGAUACUGGAGGGCUCGAGUGCGGGAGAGGGAUGUGGAAUUCCAGGUGUAGCGGUGAAAUGCGUAGAUAUCUGGAGGAACACCGGUGGCGAAGGCGGCAUCCUGGACCGACACUGACGCUGAGGCGCGAAAGCUAGGGGAGCAAACGGGAUUAGAUACCCCGGUAGUCCUAGCCCUAAACGAUGAGUGCUUGGUGUGGCGGGUAUCGAUCCCUGCCGUGCCGAAGCUAACGCAUUAAGCACUCCGCCUGGGGAGUACGGUCGCAAGGCUG